UAUGGCCAAAUCACGUUGAAACACCGGUUUCCGUACGAUCACCGAAGUUAAGCAACGUCGAGCCUGGUCAGUUUUUGGAUGGUUGACCUCUUGGGAACACCAAUAGUUGU